rnacentral:rRNA from 1 species
GAACGCCGGCGGCGUGCCUAAUACAUGCAAGUAGAACGCUGAAGGAGGAGCUUGCUUCUCCGGAUGAGUUGCGAACGGGUGAGUAACGCGUAGGUAACCUGCCUGGUAGCGGGGGAUAACUAUUGGAAACGAUAGCUAAUACCGCAUAACAGUAGAUAUUGCAUGAUAUCUGCUUGAAAGGUGCAAUUGCAUCACUACCAGAUGGACCUGCGUUGUAUUAGCUAGUUGGUGAGGUAACGGCUCACCAAGGCGACGAUACAUAGCCGACCUGAGAGGGUGAUCGGCCACACUGGGACUGAGACACGGCCCAGACUCCUACCGGAGGCAGCAGUAGGGAAUCUUCGGCAAUGGACGGAAGUCUGACCGAGCAACGCCGCGUGAGUGAAGAAGGUUUUCGGAUCGUAAAGCUCUGUUGUAAGAGAAGAACGAGUGUGAGAGUGGAAAGUUCACACUGUGACGGUAUCUUACCAGAAAGGGACGGCUAACUACGUGCCAGCAGCCGCGGU